GUUAUUUUGGUCCCGGGUGCCUGUUUGGCUCUGGCCGCAGGGCUGUCGGGAGGUGGCCCCGCGCCCCGGAUGGAACACAUCUGGGCCCCUCCGCGGAGAAUGAAGUCAGGCCCUGGGCCACAAACUUCAUCAGGGGCCCCGGGGCUGGACUCCCACCCUUGACUUGUCUGGGCUCUGGGGAUGUGGUACCAGGAAUGGGGAUGGCCCUACUGACAAGUGUUUCUUCCAUUUGCUUCCUCCCUCCUCUUCCUCUGUCUUCCUUGAGGACCUGGGCAGGCUCUGGCUUCCCCACCUUCCACGGGAGGAACCAUGGCCGGAGUGAGCUGGGAGGACAUGUGACAUGGCCUGGUGGGCUGGGAGGGGCCGAGCUCAGAGCUGCCACCAGCCCAAGGGUCUGCCUGUCUUUGAGUCCAUCUCCUUAUCUGCACUCAGGACCUGGUGGCAGGAGCAGAAACUCCAGUGAGAGUCGUGCACUCAUACCGCCGUAUUGGGAAGAAAGAAGUGUUGUCACCAGAGGCAGGCCUGGAGCUCUUUGCUGACAGACUCCUCGGUGGGACUUCCUUUCCACAACUGCCUCUUCACUCCACCUAGUACAGAAACCCCUGGGCUGCCCACUUCUUCAGGUCUUCAUUUGCUUAUGGGGGUUCCCAUCGCAUGCACAACUUACAUGAAAUAAAUUGUGUGCUUUUCUCUUGUUAA